UCUCCACCCAACUUGAAACCCUAAUUCUUGUCUCCCAAACUCAUACCUUCUGUACGAAAACACCUGUUUUUGAAGUCUUUCUUACGCGCAUCCGUCUUUUCUUCCGUUUCUACCGCAAUGGAUCGAUUUCUCGCAUCUCAGCUAGCUCGGGACUGUAGAUUUUGCCGAAGAAGCACCCGGUUUGGUGCCAUAAUUGGGAGGAUCGAUAGAUCCUUGCUGGGUUGUGCCUUCGAUCGUUAAAAUCUUGGAAAUAUAAUAUCCAUCCAAUGCCGUUGUCCAAGGCUUGCCAAAGUGGGGCCAUCAUGUGGAAUUGCCUUUGUUCUUGUUUUCUCAUUUUUGCUUGUUGGACAUGGAACUCUAAAGGUAUGAACAUGUCUUCCAUGUUAACAGGUGAGUGCUAACAACUUGAGUUGUGCAGUAGCCAAAUGAAACUGGAGUGAAGUGUUAUUUAGAUUGAUUUUAUGCUAAUUUAACAUAAAUUUGGUUACAUGAUCAUUCUCGUAGUAAAUUAAGUACCAUAAUCUUUUUAUAUUUCUCAAGUGAUGCUGCACAUUUGUAUUACUAUUAUCAGGUUAGCAGUCUAUAUAUUCUCUUUUAUAAUCACUUUUGACAAUUUGUAGGUACUUGUCAUCCAUGAUGAGAAUUACACCGAACUUGUUGAUCUUUUGUCAGGGUUGUGCUGGAGCAAAGAGCAAUCAACAAAUAAAACUUGCAGCACGGAAGGAAUGUAAGAAGUUUGAAGAGUAGUCCAUUCUUAAAACAUGACACAUAUGUUUUCACUUAAUUUUUAUAUAGUUUUAGCCAUUUGUGCAACGCCCAUUGAGUAAAGUUUGACAGCAUGCACUGUGGUUAUUAGAAGCUCACUAGUAUAAUCCAGAAGCUUGGUUUCCCAGCUACCUUUAAGGUAUCUAGUCAUAUAAUCUAGGUUCUUGGUGCUUCCUAUCCUCAUGUCUCUUCCCUAAAUUAUUUCUUUAACUUGUCUACUUUUUCUGUCUAAUUUGUAUUUCAAUGAAUAGGAUUUUAAGAUCCAGAAUAUUCUUAGUUCAUGUGAGGGCCCUGCCUCUUCUCAUGGUGUUUUCUGCAGUGCAAGUUUAUUGAUCUUCUAUGUGCUUGAGAACAAUUUACUUAUGUAUCUCCUCAUGAUGUCUUGUUUUUCCAUUAUUCCAUUUUAAUUCUUAAGCAAAUUGUUUAGUGGUUAAUAUUCUAUUACACUAUUUCCAUUUUGAGCCUAGAGAACCACAUUGGCUUAUCAGUGACUCUAUGCUCAUGCUCAAUUUCUUAUGUUAGUCACAGAGAUUAUAUUUCAUUAGAGUAACUUUGUUAUAUAUGCUUCAAUCUAAUGAAGCAUCAAAGUUCUGGAAGUUUUUCUUGCUGAAAUUAUACAUACCCAUCUGGAACCUAAAACAGCUGCUUUUGUGUACAAACCAGCGAUUUUUCCUGGUUUGAUAUUGCGUAUGAAAAAAUUCAAAGAUGGUACUUUUCAUUUUUGCUUAUGGAAAAAUUGUUCUCACUGGGGCAAAGGUAAUGUUCUUAAAGCAAUUUCAAAUACAUGAGUCAUACAUAUCUCUCUUUUAUUCAUCAUCUUCAAUCCAAUUCAGGUUCAAGAUGAGGCACAUGCUGCAUUUGAGAAUAUACCAGUCCAUACAGAAAUCAGAAAGAACCAGCAAUGAUGAUUCAUAGCUGCUGCCUGGAAUGGAAUUUUCAACUACAACAUAUGUAAAUAUUAAAUGGCACAUCAUCCUUUAUCGGUUAUAUAUGACCUACAGUUUUCUUGCUUUUGAUCUA